UCCCGAGUAGCUCAGUGGUUAAGGUGCUCGCUUUGAGUGUAAGCUGUGCCAUAUGGCCUGGGUUCAAGCCCCAGCCAUGUCA